GGUUAAGUUAGAAAGGGCGCACGGUGGAAUGCC
rnacentral:rRNA from 1 species